AGAUUUUCUGACAAUUCUAUAGGAAGCUUGUGGUCAUCGCCAUGGCAAAAGCAAGAAACAUUCUAAGAAAAAUAAGAAACAGAAGAAGAGAUCACAUUCAAGAUCAGUUUCUGAAUCGGAAGAAGAAACCUAUAGACACAGAAGUAAAAAGAAAAAAA